UAAUACAGGGGGUGCAAACGUUGCUCGGAAUUAUUGGGCGUAAAGCGCGCGUAGGCGGCUACUUAAGUCGGAUGUGAAAGCCCCUGGCUCAACUGGGGAAGUGCACCCGAAACUGAGUAGCUUGAGUGCAAAAGAGGGCCGCGGAAUUCCCGGUGUAGAGGUGAAAUUCGUAGAUAUCGGGAGGAACACCGGUGGCGAAGGCGGCGGCCUGGGUUGACACUGACGCUGAGGCGCGAAAGCGUGGGGAGCAAACAGGAUUAGAUACCCUGGUAGUCCACGCCGUAAACGAUGGGUGCUAGAUGUUUCUGGUAUUGACCCCGGAGGCGUCGUAGCUAACGCGUUAAGCACCCCGCCUGGGAAGUACGGCCGCAAGGCUA
rnacentral:rRNA from 1 species